ACGGGUGAGUAAUGUCUGGGGAUCUGCCCGAUAGAGGGGGAUAACCACUGGAAACGGUGGCUAAUACCGCAUAACGUCGCAAGACCAAAGAGGGGGACCUUAGGGCCUCUCACUAUCGGAUGAACCCAGAUGGGAUUAGCUAGUAGGCGGGGUAACGGCCCACCUAGGCGACGAUCCCUAGCUGGUCUGAGAGGAUGACCAGCCACACUGGAACUGAGACACGGUCCAGACUCCUACGGGAGGCAGCAGUGGGGAAUAUUGCACAAUGGGCGCAAGCCUGAUGCAGCCAUGCCGCGUGUAUGAAGAAGGCCUUCGGGUUGUAAAGUACUUUCAGCGGGGAGGAAGGCAUUGUGGUUAAUAACCGCAGUGAUUGACGUUACCCGCAGAAGAAGCACCGGCUAACUCCGUGCCAGCAGCCGCGGUAAUACGGAGGGUGCAAGCGUUAAUCGGAAUUACUGGGCGUAAAGCGCACGCAGGCGGUCUGUUAAGUCAGAUGUGAAAUCCCCGGGCUUAACCUGGGAACUGCAUUUGAAACUGGCAGGCUUGAGUCUCGUAGAGGGGGGUAGAAUUCCAGGUGUAG
rnacentral:rRNA from 1 species